CAGCUGGAAUGAUUGACAAUUUUGAGAGACAAUGGGAGCUGAAGCAUGGCUGUCUCUCUUCCUCCCACCUUUCCCACUUCCUCCCCGGGAUAGAAGUGAUUGAUUAGACAGAGCUGGUGAUUGACGGCGGUCCGAGUCAACCGAGGAGCGGUGUAUUACACAACAGGACUUUGGACUGACCUUAAACCAAUCAAUCUGGUCAAGAGGCAGCAGGCUGGCCUGCUGAGACGCUGCACCAAUCACUGUAAUCUCGGGGCUGGAUGUCUGGUCAUCAUGUUAGGUUGUCUUUUGUGUAUACAGAAGAUGGAUACAGUAUUCAAAGUGUCUACUUUGGAAAUGUGUUUUAUUUCUGGGAAUAUAUCCUUGCACUUGGGCAAGUAAGUUUUCAGGUUCCAGUUUGACCUCCACUAGAGUAUUGUGUAAAUUUCUGAACUCAUGCUAUAAAAGGGAUGUGAACGCAUUGGCAGAAGAAGUUGACAAGAAUGGUUCGAAGGAUGAGUAACUUCAGUUUUUAAAUAGAGACUUUGUUGUCCUUGGAAAGGAGAAGACGAAAAGGAGACUUGACAGACAUUUUCAAAGUCAUGUAUGGUCUGGACAGAAUAGAUAUGGAAAACUGUUCCCUUCAUAAAUGGAUCAAGAAUGAAAGGCACAGAUAUAAGGUUAAAAAAUAAAUUCUUGCAGUGAGUAAUUAGGAUCUGGAUUGCAUUGUCUGAAAACCUGGUGGAGGUAGAUUCAAUUGAGAAUAUCCAAGAGAGCGUUGGAUGAUUAUUUAAAUAGAACUAAAUUCAAGAGCCUUGUGGUGUAGUACCUGCCUUUGAGCCAGGAGGCCUGGGUUCAGGCUCUACCUGUUCCUGAGGUGUGUCUUUUUAUCAAUGAACAGUUGGUUUGAAAUAUGUAGAAUUGGAAUUUGAAGAGUUGCACCAUGCUCUAGUACAUGUAUGGUGACCAAAGCACCUGUUACAAGAGGGGAGGAACACAUUCUGAAUUUUAGGAAGGAGUCCAUAUGUCUACAUUGAGAAUUUAGAAAUACAGUUUUUAGGGACAAAAUUUCUGGAAAGUAAAUAUUGUCUUUAUUCAAGAUAAAUACCUUGAUUCUGUUUGCCUAACAGAUUGCAUAGAUAAAAACAAGUGUUGGGGUCUGCACAAAAAAAAAAAUUGGUCCAUCAAGCUUGGACUGUCUGGACAGAGUGGAAUGGAAUACACUGUUGGUAUCACCUGUCUUUCAAAUUUGCAGUCCUCGUAGGAGAGGCAAAACAAAAACAAAGUGAUCAAUUUCUGGAACAAAAUUCCAGAAAAUUUCUGACUUCUAUUACAGUCAAACAAGCUCUAGGAUAUUGCAGUAACUUUUAAUUUAUUUCCAGCAACUCUGUAACCUAACAUUGAAUGCAUGGGGAUUUCUACAGAAAAUCCAGAUAUAACCUUCACAAAGCCAUCAGAUGCGACAAGGCUGUACGAACCAAGUCAGGGGCCUAAACCAAGCAUACGGACUCCCCCGCUGCCUGUGGCAAGGCGUAAAUGACAAAUGGGAUGCAAAAUGAAGCAGAGCGUGAUGGUGGACAAAGAUACAUCCCUCCCUAAGUGCUUUCUGUGCUUGGCUCAAGUGGAAUGCCUGUGGCAUGGUGUCAUCUGCCCAACAGUCUUGGAUACGCCUGCUCCCUGUGUCACCAUUGCAGAUGUCAGAUCAGUCUUCGUGGGAAUCAACCUGAGGAAAGCAAUGGGCCCAGACAGAGUUCCCAGCCAAGCACUCAGAUCCUGUAUAGACUAGAAGGCAGAAGUACUCACCGAUGUCUUCAACCUCUCCCUCCGACAAGCUGAAGUCCCCACCUGCUCCAAGAAGACCAGCAGCAUCCCAGUACCGAAUUUGGCACAUGCAGCAGACCUUGAUGAUUACCGUUCAGUGCCUGUGAAAAUCUCAACCCCCGGGCGGGGUCUCUCGUUUCCACGAUCGGUCAGUGAGCACUCGCAAUCGGUCUGGCUGUUUAAGACUUUACUCUUUAUUUCUUCUUACGGCUGGGUACAGAUCAUCCAGAAAUACAAGUUGAGCACUUCUGUAUUCCUCGGAGGAGCUGCACACACAGCUUAAUACAAAGAUAUUUUUAUACAUUUCUUAAAGCAGGGUACAUGACGUGAUUGCAUAGUGCAUUCAAACAACCACCAACCAAUACAUGAUAUUGCUUCAUCGACAGCCACCCAAUCCAACAAUAUCAACUGGUAAACAACCCAUGUCACAACGCUUGGGUUAUUUUUUAUCUCAUCACACAGUGCCGCAACAUUUGCACCCGAAGGUCAGCCAGAACAGUCAGUACUGCACUGUCCCACCAGGUUUCCUCUGUGUUCUAAACGGCGCACCAUCUGCUCAUCUUUCUUUGCAACAAUCUGAGGGUUAGUUAUUUAUGCAGCUCUAGCAGAAUUUACAGUUCCCAGGCUAGGAACCAUUUUUGUUGUGCUAACUUGCAUCGAGAAGCCAUCCCGUCACCGUCCAAGUUACCAAGAGCAUUCAUCAGGCUUCCAGCUGCAACUAGUCAUGCAGGUGCAGGUCUUGAGCUUCCAUAUCCCAGCCUAGGCUGCAUUCAAGUCUCAGACUCUCACCUGUAUCUCCUGCAGCUUGCCUACCAAUGUAACAACAGGUCCACACCGGACGUGGCUUCCUUAGCCCUGCUCUCCAAACCUGGACUACAAGGACACCUAUGUCAGACUCAUGCUCAUUGACCACAGCUCUGACUUCAACACCACUAUCCCCUGCAGACUGACUUCAAAACUCCAAAACCUAGAUCUGGGCUUUGUCCUCUGCGACUGGAUCCUCAGCUUCCUGACGUGUCGACCGCAAUCAGUGACGAUAGACAACUGCUCCUCCUCUAUGAUAACAUGCAACACUUGAGCCCACCCAAGGAUACGUUCUCAGCCCCCUACUUGCUGUACACCCAUGACUGUGUAGCCAAAUUCUAAGUGAUCACCAUCUACACAUUUGCUGAUGACACCACCAUGGUAGGCUGGAUAUCAAACAGUGAUGAGUUAGAAUGUAGGAAGGAGAUAAAGGGCUUGGUGACGUGCUUCAACGAUUUCUUUAAAAAAAACACUCUCAAUGUUUGCAAAACGAAAGCACUGAUCUUUGGCUUCAGAAAGAAAGGAGGAGAACAUGUGCCCAUCUACGUUAACAGAGCAGAAGUUGAGAGCAUCAACUUCCUAGGAGUAACAAUAACUGACAAUGUGUCCUGGAUUUACCGCAUAGCUGUGAGGGUCCAGAGCCUUGCCAACUUCUACAGAUGUACCGUAAAAAGCACGUUGUCCGGGUGCAAAAUAAAAAAAAAAGCCCGGUAAGGCAACUGCUCUGUCUAGGACUGUAAGAAACUACAAAAGGUUGCGUGCACUGCCCAGACCAUCUCGGAAGCCAAUUUCCUAUCCAUGGACUCCAUUUACAUCUCUUGCUCAGAAAGGCUGCCAAUAUUAUUAAAGAUCUAUCCUACCUGGUGAUGCUGUCCUACAAGCUCUUCUGUCAGGCAGAAGAUGCUGAAGCUUCAAGACAUGCAUUAGUGUGUUCAAGAACAGCUUCUUCCCUGCCAUUAUUAGACUGAUGAAUAGUCUGCCUAACUUGAAUAAUGUUAAUCUUAUUAAUGUUGGCCUUGCCUUGUGCACUUCCUGUGUGGUGUAACCUGUAUGCCUUACUCUGUCCAAGUUUUUUUUCCACCCUGUGAUCAGAUGUCCUUGCUUACAAUGAUCUGCCUGUACUGCUAGCAAACAAAGCUUUUCACUAUAUUUCGGUACACUUGACAAUAAAUCAAAUUGAGUGAAAUACACACUACUUUGGGUAUCUGGCUUUCUGUCACUUUUCUGAAAUAUAGCAACAGCUAAAACUUAAAUGAGUCUUUUUUAAAAAAAAACAAGCUUUUUUUCUGACUUUGACAACAUUUGUUCUUAGUGUUCCUGAAAUAUCCUGCUUAAAUAAACACUUCUUAAAUUCAAUGCCUUACCACCCUGAAUAAUUCAGUUAUUUCAGAAUUUCCACUGUAAAUAGUGUUGCAUGAUUUGGUUCAGUUAGUAAUCAUUUACAUU